ACGGCCCGUUGUCUUAGAUUGGCUGCCAGAACAAACCACCACAGGCCUGGUGGCUUCAACAAUGGAAACGCGUUUUCCUGCCACAGCUCCGGAGGCUGAACGCCCGACACCCAGGAUACGAGCAGUUACUCAUUAAUUCUGACAAAAAGAAAGAUGAGUCAGUGGAAAGAGGUGAGAACUGGAGCUGUCUGCACUCUUGUGACUUCUCUGCUGGAGGCUCUGGCCUCUUCCCUGGCUCAGCCUGCACCCACGGACUCUACAAGGCGAAGACAGCCUCCAGCAUUCAAAGAUCAUGAUUUCUCAUCAGGCCUAGCAGUGCCUUUGGGGCAAAUUGGCUCACAGACAGUUUGCUGGACCCUCACAGCAUUAAAAAGUCCUACCUGCCUUUCCACAUCCAAGAGCCCAAAGUCACGUCGGGCUCAGUUAACAGAGGCUGUGCUCCUUCGUCCUGCCAGUCGACGCCUUGCUUGCAGUCUCCAGACCCAGCUGGCCCCAGCACGGAUGCUGAGCAGAUAGACGUCGAAGGCAGUGUACGAGGUCCGUCGGAUUCGGGGAACAGUCACUGUACACAGGUGAAAGCCCCAUUUCAUGUUUCCUGAUGUCAGCUGGUUCCAGGAGUACUCAGAAUAACAGCCUGUUUGGUGUUUAUUCUCUCUGAGCAUUAGUAUUUUCACUUAUCUAUUCUGUCCAGUGUGUUUUGAGAUUUGACUUAAUCAAAACCCUAAC